rnacentral:rRNA from 2 species
CCUGCAGGAAAGGACAUCAACCGAGACUCCGCAAGUAGUGGCGAGCGAACGCGGACCAGGCCAGUGGCAAUGAGGAAUAAAGUGGAACGACUUGGAAAGGUCGGCCGUAGCGGGUGAUAGCCCCGUACACGUAGAACACUCAUUGUCCUUGAGUAAGGCGGGACACGUGAAAUCCUGUCUGAACAUGGGGAGACCACUCUCCAAGCCUAAGUACUCGUGCAUGACCGAUAGCGAACAAGUACCGUGAGGGAAAGGUGAAAAGCACCCCGACAAGGGGAGUGAAAUAGAACCUGAAACCGGAUGCCUACAAACAGUCGGAGCCCGCAAGGGUGACGGCGUACCUUUUGUAUAAUGGGUCAACGACUUAGUGUGACAUGCAAGCUUAAGCCGGUAGGUGGAGGCGUAGCGAAAGCGAGUCUGAACAGGGCGCCUGAGUAUGUCGCAUUAGACCCGAAACCGAGUGAUCUAGCCAUGAGCAGGUUGAAGGUUGGGUAACACCAACUGGAGGACCGAACCCGCAUCUGUUGCAAUAGAUUGGGAUGACUUGUGGCUAGGGGUGAAAGGCCAAUCAAACUCGGAAAUAGCUGGUUCUCCGCGAAAUCUAUUUAGGUAGAGCGUCGACCGAAUACCCCCGGGGGUAGAGCACUGGAUGGGCUAUGGGGACUCACCGUCUUACUGAUCCUAACCAAACUCCGAAUACCGGGGAGUACUAGUCGGCAGACACACGGCGGGUGCUAACGUCCGUCGUGAAAAGGGCAACAACCCUGACCUCCAGCUAAGGUCCCCAAGUCAUGGCUAAGUGGGAAAGGAUGUGAGGAUCCCAAAACAACCAGGAUGUUGGCUUAGAAGCAGCCAUCAUUUAAAGAAAGCGUAACAGCUCACUGGUCUAAAUAAGGGUCUUUGCGCCGAAAAUGUAACGGGGCUGAAGCCAUGCACCGAAGCUGAGGAUUUGAUCGCAAGAUCAAGUGGUAGCGGAGCGUUCCGUAAGCCUGUGAAGGGAUACCCGUGAGGGGUCCUGGAGGUAUCGGAAGUGCGAAUGUUGACAUGAGUAACGAUAAAGAGGGUGAGAGACCCUCUCGCCGAAAGACCAAGGGUUCCUGCUUAAAGUUAAUCUGAGCAGGGUUAGCCGGCCCCUAAGACGAGGCGGACACGCGUAGUCGAUGGGAACCACGUUAAUAUUCGUGGGCCUGGUGGUAGUGACGGAUCGCCCAACUUGUUCGGACUUAUUGGAUUGUCCGGGCGGGGACGCGGUUCCAGGAAAUAGCUCCACCGUAUAGACCGUACCCGAAACCGACACAGGUGGUCAGGUAGAGUAUACCAAGGCGCUUGAGAGAACUAUGUUGAAGGAACUCGGCAAAUUGCACGCGUAACUUCGGAAGAAGCGUGACCCUUUUGUACGCAAGUAUGAUGGGGUGGCACAGACCAGGGGGUAGCGACUGUUUAUCAAAAACACAGGGCUCUGCGAAGUCGCAAGACGACGUAUAGGGUCUGACGCCUGCCCGGUGCUGGAAGGUUAAGAGGAGGGGUGCAAGCUCUGAAUCGAAGCCCCAGUAAACGGCGGCCGUAACUAUAACGGUCCUAAGGUAGCGAAAUUCCUUGUCGGGUAAGUUCCGACCUGCACGAAUGGCGUAACGACUUCCCCGCUGUCUCCAACAUAGACUCAGUGAAAUUGAAUUCCCCGUGAAGAUGCGGGGUUCCUGCGGUCAGACGGAAAGACCCCGUGCACCUUUACUAUAGCUUUACACUGGCAUUCGUGUCGGCAUGUGUAGGAUAGGUGGUAGGCUUUGAAGCGGGGACGCCAGUUCUCGUGGAGCCAUCCUUGAAAUACCACCCUUAUCGUCAUGGAUGUCUAACCGCGGUCCGUCAUCCGGAUCCGGGACAGUGUAU